GUGAACCUGCGGAAGGAUCAUUAUUGAAUGUUGCUUGAUAGGUUGUAGCUGGCUCUUCGGGGCAUGUGCACGCCUGUCAUGACUACUAUUCAUCCACCUGUGCACCAUUUGUAGUCUUUCGGGGGCUGGCAGUGGCUGACUUGUCGGUCGAGAGACCGGAUUGUGAGGAAUUGCAGYGCGAAAGCGUCUUGCUCUCCUCAAAUCGGCCGUGAAAGCCUCCCUCGGGGCCUAUGUCUUUAUUCAUAUACCAUGUAGUAUGUUGCAGAAUGUAUUCAUUGGGCCUUUGUGCCUAUAAAACCUUAUACAACUUUCAGCAACGGAUCUCUUGGCUCUCGCAUCGAUGAAGAACGCAGCGAAAUGCGAUAAGUAAUGUGAAUUGCAGAAUUCAGUGAAUCAUCGAAUCUUUGAACGCACCUUGCGCUCCUUGGUAUUCCGAGGAGCAUGCCUGUUUGAGUGUCAUUAAAUUCUCAACCCCUCCAGCUUUUGUGGCUGGUUUAAUUGGGGCUUGGAUGUGGAGGUCUUGCGGGCCUAUAUCAGGUCGGCUCCUCUGAAAUGCAUUAGCGGAACCGUUUGCGAUCCGUCACAGGUGUGAUAAUUAUCUACGCCAGUGGAUUGCUCUCUGUCAGUUCAGCUUCCAACCGUCCGAUUGUGCGGACAACUUUCUGAACCUUUGACCUCAAAUCAGGUAGGACUACCCG
rnacentral:rRNA from 1 species